GACGAACGCUGGCGGCGUGCUUAACACAUGCCAGUCGAACGAUGAAGAAAAGAAUCGCAGCUUCGGCAGAAAUUCAUUUCGGAUUAGUGGCAGACGGGUGAGUAACGCGUGAGCAACCUACCUCUUACAAAGGGAUAGCCUCGGGAAACCGGGAUUAAUACCAUAUAACAUUGUGACGAAGCAUUUCGAUGCAAUCAAAGCUACGGCGGUAAGAGAUGGGCUCGCGUCCCAUUAACCGGAUGGUGAGGUAACGGCUCACCAUAGUGACGAUGGGUAACCGGCCUGAGAGGGUGAACGGUCACACUGGAACUGAGACACGGUCCAGACUCCUACGGGAGGCAGCAGUGGGGAAUAUUGCACAAUGGAGGGAACUCUGAUGCAGCGACGCCGCGUGAGUGAUGAAGGAAUUCGUUUCGUAAAACUCUGUUCUAUGGGAAGAAAAGGACUGUACCAUAGGAGAAAGCUCCGGCUAAAUACGUG
rnacentral:rRNA from 1 species